GAUGAAUGCUGGCGGCGUGCCUAAUACAUGCAAGUCGAGCGGUAAGGCCCUUCGGGUACACGAGCGGCGGACGGCUGAGUAACGCGUGGGAACAUGCCCCAAAGCGAGGGAUAACGCACCGAAAGGUGUGCUAAUACCGCAUAUGGUCUUCGGAUUAAAGGAUUUAUCCGCUUUGGGAGUGGCCCGCGUACGAUUAGAUUGUUGGUGAGGUAACGGCUCACCAAGUCGACGAUCGUUAACUGGUCUGAGAGGAUGAUCAGUCAGACUGGAACUGAGACACGGUCCAGACUCCUACGGGAGGCAGCAGUAAGGAAUCUUCCACAAUGGGCGAAAGCCUGAUGGAGCAACGCCGCGUGCAGGAUGAAGGCCCUCGGGUCGUAAACUGCUUUAUGAGUGAAGAAUAUGACGGUAACUCAUGAAUAAGCACCGGCUAACUACGUGCCAGCAGCCGCGGUAAU
rnacentral:rRNA from 1 species